ensembl:snRNA U6 U6 spliceosomal RNA
GCUCUCGCUUCAGCACCACAUAUUCUAAAUUUGGAAACAACACAGAGAUUAGCAUGGCCCCUGCAUGAGGAUGACAUGCAAAUUUGUGAAGCAUUCCAUAUAUUU